rnacentral:rRNA from 1 species
UACGGGGGGAGCAAGCGUUGUUCGGAUUUACUGGGCGUAAAGGGCGCGUAGGCGGCGCGGUAAGUCACUUGUGAAAUCUCUGAGCUUAACUCAGAACGGCCAAGUGAUACUGCAGUGCUAGAGUGUGGAAGGGGCAAUCGGAAUUCUUGGUGUAGCGGUGAAAUGCGUAGAUAUCGGGAGGAACACCAGUGGCGAAGGCGACUUCCUGGCCUGUUCUUGACGCUGAGGCGCGAAAGCUAGGGGAGCAAACGGG